GAUGAACGCUAGCGGCAGGCCUAACACAUGCAAGUCGAGGGGUAUAGGGAGCUUGCUUCCUAGAGACCGGCGCACGGGUGCGUAACGCGUAUGCAAUCUACCUUGUACAGGGGAAUAGCCCAGAGAAAUUUGGAUUAAUGCCCCAUAGUAUUAUUAAAUGGCAUCCUUUAAUAAUUAAAGUUCCAACGGUACAAGAUGAGCAUGCGUCCUAUUAGUUAGUUGGUGUGGUAACGGCAUACCAAGACGAUGAUAGGUAGGGGUCCUGAGAGGGAGAUCCCCCACACUGGUACUGAGACACGGACCAGACUCCUACGGGAGGCAGCAGUGAGGAAUAUUGGACAAUGGGCGCAAGCCUGAUCCAGCCAUGCCGCGUGCAGGAAGACGGUCCUAUGGAUUGUAAACUGCUUUUUAUACAGGAAGAAACACUGGUUCGCGAACCAGCUUGACGGUACUGUAAGAAUAAGGAUCGGCUAACUCGUGCCAGCAGCCGCGGUAA
rnacentral:rRNA from 1 species